CCAGGAGCCCUGGAGUCCCUUCCACAUUUAGCAUCCUUCAGCACUGCAAUCUCUCCUUGGAAAGGAUCCAAAGGAAUUAGAGAAGAGCAAAGAAAUAAGGCUCUUGGAGCUGCUCUAGGCAGCUUCAUUGCCAGGUCUCGACUCUGCU